CAGUAGCCGCGGUAAAACGAAGGGUGCAAGCGUUAAUCGAAAUUACUGGGCGUAAAGCGUGCGUAGGCGGUUUGUUAAGUCUGUUGUGAAAUCCCCGGGCUCAACCUGGGAAUGGCAAUGGAUACUGGCAAGCUAGAGUGUGUCAGAGGAUGGUGGAAUUCCCGGUGUAGCGGUGAAAUGCGUAGAGAUCGGGAGGAACAUCAGUGGCGAAGGCGGCCAUCUGGGACAACACUGACGCUGAGGCACGAAAGCGUGGGGAGCAAACAGGAUUAGAUACCCGCGUAGUCCCUGUCUCUUAUAC
rnacentral:rRNA from 1 species